rfam:Clostridiales bacterium 42_27 Ley3_66761_scaffold_1616, whole genome shotgun sequence.
UAAAGAGAUAGAGGCGCGGAUUUUAUCAGUAUUUAUGGACGAGAGGCCCUGGCAGGCUGUCCAUAAAGAAAGGAAAAUCUGCCGAAGUGCUCUGAAAGGCCAGAUGACAGGGUACUGGGAUAACGCAGAAUAUGCGUUGUACUGUCACGGAUGUGGAGCGCUAUCGUAAGU